AGUGAACGCUGGCGGUAGGCCUAACACAUGCAAGUCGAACGGCAGCACAGUAAGAGCUUGCUCUUACGGGUGGCGAGUGGCGGACGGGUGAGGAAUACAUCGGAAUCUACUUUUUCGUGGGGGAUAACGUAGGGAAACUUACGCUAAUACCGCAUACGACCUACGGGUGAAAGCAGGGGAUCUUCGGACCUUGCGCGAUUGAAUGAGCCGAUGUCGGAUUAGCUAGUUGGCGGGGUAAAGGCCGACCAAGGCGACGAUCCGUAGCUGGUCUGAGAGGAUGAUCCGCCACACUGGAGCUGAGACACGGUCCAGACUCCUAAGGGAGGCAGCAGUGGGGAAUAUUGGACAAUGGGCGCAAGCCUGGUACAGCCAUACCGCGUGGGUGAAGAAGGCCUUCGGGUUGUAAAGCCCUUUUGUUGGGAAAGAAAAGCAGCAGGUUAAUACCCCGCUGUUCUGACGGUACCCAAAGAAUAAGCACCGGCUAACUUCGUG
rnacentral:rRNA from 1 species